rnacentral:rRNA from 1 species
AGAGUUUGAUCCUGGCUCAGGACGAACGCUGGCGGCGUGCUUAACACAUGCAAGUCGAACGAGGCUCCACCUUCGGGUGGUGUUCUAGUGGCGAACGGGUGAGUAACACGUGGGCAACCUGCCCUCAGCUCUGGGAUAACUCCGGGAAACCGGGGCUAAUACCGGAUAUGACCCUUCUUGGCAUCUCGAGGGGUGGAAAGUUUUUCGGCUGAGGAUGGGCCCGCGGCCUAUCAGCUUGUUGGUGGGGUGAUGGCCUACCAAGGCGACGACGGGUAGCCGGCCUGAGAGGGUGACCGGCCACACUGGGACUGAGACACGGCCCAGACUCCUACGGGAGGCAGCAGUGGGGAAUAUUGCGCAAUGGGCGAAAGCCUGACGCAGCGACGCCGCGUGAGGGACGAAGGCCUUCGGGUUGUAAACCUCUUUCAGCAGGGACGAAGCGAAAGUGACGGUACCUGCAGAAGAAGCACCGGCCAACUACGUGCCAGCAGCCGCGGUAAUACGUAGGGUGCAAGCGUUGUCCGGAAUUAUUGGGCGUAAAGAGCUCGUAGGCGGUCUGUUGCGUCGGCUGUGAAAACCCGAGGCUCAACCUCGGGCCUGCAGCCGAUACGGGCAGACUAGAGUUCGGCAGGGGAGACUGGAAUUCCUGGUGUAGCGGUGAAAUGCGCAGAUAUCAGGAGGAACACCGGUGGCGAAGGCGGGUCUCUGGGCCGAUACUGACGCUGAGGAGCGAAAGCGUGGGGAGCGAACAGGAUUAGAUACCCUAGUAGUCC